rnacentral:rRNA from 1 species
GAUGAACGCUGGCGGCGUGCCUAACACAUGCAAGUCGAGCGAACGGACGAGAAGCUUGCUUCUCUGAUGUUAGCGGCGGACGUGUGAGUAACAUGUGGAUAACCCACCUAUAAGACUGGGAUAACUUCGGGAAACCGUAGCUAAUACCGGGUAAUAUUUUGAACCGCAUGGUUCAAAAGUGAAAGACGGUCUUGCUGUCACUUAUAGAUGGAUCCGCGCUGCAUUGGCUAGUUGGUAAGGUAACGGCUUACCAAGGCGACGAUGCAUAGCCGACCAGAGAGGGUGAUCGGCCACACUGGAACUGAGACACGGUCCAGACUCCUACGGGAGGCAGCAGUAGGGAAUCUUCCGCAAUGGGCGGAAGCCUGACGGAGCAACGCCGCGUGAGUGAUGAAGGUCUUCGGAUCGUAAGACUCUGUUAUUAGGGAAGAACAUAUGUGUAAGUAACUGUGCACAUCUUGACGGUACCUAAUCAGAAAGCCACGGCUAACUACGUG